AUUACACCAAAUAUUUUAUAUCACAAUCUAUGAAUUAAUUCUAUAUAUUCUCCAAAAAUAAAAGUACACCUUCAAUUUGAAAAACGUUGAAAAUCAAAAACUCCCGCAUCGUGCUGAAAGUAGCUAGCGUAUAACCACAGCUAUCUUUGGUAUAACCCUCCGGGAGGCGAUGUUCUGGAAAACAAGAAAAAAAACGUAUUAUAAAGAAAAAAAUGAAGAUCAAAGCAUUGAGUACAUGCUUUUUUCAGUGAUAAUAUGCCAGCAACGUAUAUUUUGCCAAUACUACAGCCUUUAUUAGUCAUUUUGGAAAUUAGUGUGCCCGGGAGAUCCCAGCGCUACAAAAACAUGUUUUGAACUCUGGGUAGUGUAAUUUGGAAGAUUUGUUGUUGUGAUGGUAAGGGUGCUAUAAACUAUGAUAACAAUAGCAUUAUUACAGUUUUUGCAUGGGAAAGAAAACUAAAAUGCUAGAUUUCCCUUGUACCAAAAGACAGACACUAUUAUUUUCCUGAAAAUGAUCCAUAAUGAACGCCUACAUACAGACUGACGCAUGCGUAGUUGUAAAUGCACAUGAUUUCUGAACGUUUUAAUGGCAAUAGCAGAAAAUACAACUCGAGUCUGUAGUUCCAUUUAGUAGUAUAAACUAAGCGAAAAGCAGUGGUGGCUUUGGAAACAUUCAGAAAAGAAGAGACUCUUGCAAUGCAAAACAAACUGAUUGGGUAUGUAACUGUGCAUGAAUUGAAGAAAAUCAACCCUUGACGCUUGUAAACCAGGGUCGGUACAGUAUGAAUACAUUGACAUGUAAAUGGUGUGCAUUAUGUCUUUCCUAGGCAGUCUUGCAGACUCUUCUAUUCAGACGAACCUGUGAAGAUAGUCCAGAGGACAGUAUUUGUAUGACGAGAAUGGCAAGUAGUAUUUGGACUGUAUCAGCAACGUUCAGCACGGUAAGAGACAAAUCUAUCGGUGACGUUCUUUUAAUGCAUCUUAUUGGCAUAUUUGAUAAGUAUUCUGUUGUAUUCGGUGUAUUUUGUGACAGCACAGCAGCAAAGGACACAGUCCAAAGCCCUUUGAACAUUACAGGACAACAUAAUCAACACAACUGUGCCUCCUAGUGUUUGGCGGAAACCCAGUGUCAUCGGACGUGAUUGAGAAGGACCUGAGGGGGAACUCCACACGAGUAGGAGGGCACCUAUUGGACCUGCUGACGCAGCUACAGACUAAACAUCCAAUCAUUGGAGAUGUCCGGUAGGGGCACUAUGGCCUGAAUUAUGUGAAGGUAAUGGCCGUGUUCCUCUGACAUGCCAGAUCGUACAACACCUGGAUAGGUAUUUCACAUAUCAGCUGACCAUGUUAUAGCAAUCUGGUGUCCGAAGGCAGUCAAAUACUUGGCAUGCAACCAUUAGUUGAUGCAUGCAACAUCUGAGCAGGGGAACGCACCCAAGGUCUUUAUAGUAACCAUUAACUACCAACAUAUUAUUAUGCAUUCUGAAAUACUGGCUUUGUGUUUAUUCUUGGGGCCGCUUGUGGGCUUGAGCUGGUCACAGUGCAGAGGGGCUGUUGUGGGCUUUUCCAAAUAAAUCUUAGCAUUACCUUAAAAAAAUUGGAAUAUCCUUUGGUCUUGUCUCCUAUUCCAGACUGAAAGAGGAGUACGUCGGUGUCAGUUUAGAAAGCCCCUGGGAGAAGUGUCAAGUUUAAACCUCCCAUGUGCUUCAGUAUGGAGGACGCAGAGCUGGUGGCAGAUGGGAUACACCCUAUUCUCACAGACAUGGAGAGCAGUCAAGAACUGGACAAUGGAGACAUCUAAGGUUUGUACAAACCUGUAGAAAGAUUUAAUUGCAUCAGACAGUAAGAAUUGGUCACAGUAAGAAGGUAGCGGUGUGGAUAGUGUCAAGUACUCUAGUAGAUUAACAGUUAAAGUGCAUUUCAGACAUUUGGAUUUCAUAAAUGUCCUUGCUAUCCAGCAUCCUUGGGACGUCCCAAGGAUCCCAGGAAAACACUAACCAUUUCAUAAACAGAGCACAAGAACUGGAGCCAUUGUGGAGGAAGACAAGAGAAGGACUGCAGACAUUAAAAAGGUAGCCCAUCGCAUGAUCCAUACCACAAUUAAGGCUAAAAAGCCAAAUCAUUAAGAUUACGCUUCUAGAUCUAACACAUGAAUGUUUGUGACAGUUCAUGAUGUGGAAUUAGUGACCGCUUUUGGUCCUGCAUGAGGGACAGAAAAGGCAGUGACAUGCAAUAUAUUUGUUCUACUAGAAUACCAUGUACUUUCGCUAUGAUGUGAUAAUGACAUGAAAACAUUUAAAAUACCUUGACGCUCACAUUUAUACUUCCUGUGAAAACAGAUCCAACCCCCCCACCACAUGGUAACUACGGGAUAAAGAAGUGCUAAGAACUAAAUUAAGUGCUACUGAUACAGUAGGAAAGAGAACAUCGUGGACAUCAACUUGGAAUGGACACUGGCCCAGGUAGACUGAAGAGAAGUCACAUCCAGCUGAUCUUGAUAAUUGCACAUUGCAUGGCAACAGUGACUUUAUACACAAGUAUCAAAGGACUAUUAAUGACAAGCAAAAAAUUAUGUGGUAGGAGUGCACUUACCAGAGGACUACAGUUAGCACCUUAUCCACCUAUAACAUACCAAAUACUGUAGUUACACUUCAGAUCCAUAGCUGGGUAAGAUCAGCUAGCUCGGAAAGUAAAAUCGACAUGUACGUAGCACGGCUUUCACCCCCAUUGACUGAUUCCCUCUGCCUGCGAAGUAUCUGCCACCGCAUCCCAAAGAGGCAUCCGUACGAAGCGAUUUUAACCUUACCCAGGACAAGCAAGCCAUUUAACAGUACAAAGCAGUUAACAGUAACCACAACAGCAUUAGUUUUAUAAAUAAUAACAAAAGGAUCCACGUGUAAUAUAAACCAAAAGUUUAUUUCUACCAAUUUGCCCAAGACACUAGAGGAAUGAGUUUCCAGUGAGAGAGGGAAGACCCUCUUACAUUAACAGGCUUGCGCUCGGUUGGAUUGUAUGGUUUGUAACACUAGUAAAGCCACUUUUAAAAUGCAGACAAGAUGGGGGGGUGGGGGGGGGAAUCUCCGUAAAAGCCAAAAAAACAAGUGCUGGUUGUCAUCGUCUACUAGCCAACUGCAAACAUUCACUAGACAAGCUUACAAUGAAACCUUUGAUUAGUUUAAUCCCUUCUCGCCUCACCCCACAUCUGAAGCCAUGCAACUCGCAUCAAACACUCAGCACGAGGAAAAAAAUAAAAAAACACUACAAUUCUAGAAA